AGAGUUUGAUCCUGGCUCAGGAUGAACGCUGGCGGCGUGCUUAACACAUGCAAGUCGAACGAAGCACCUUGAUUUGAUUCUUCGGAUGAAGAUCUUGGUGACUGAGUGGCGGACGGGUGAGUAACGCGUGGGUAACCUGCCUCAUACAGGGGGAUAACAGUUAGAAAUGACUGCUAAUACCGCAUAAGACCACAGCACCGCAUGGUGCAGGGGUAAAAACUCCGGUGGUAUGAGAUGGACCCGCGUCCGAUUAGCUAGUUGGUGAGGUAACGGCCCACCAAGGCGACGAUCGGUAGCCGGACUGAGAGGUUGAAUGGCCACAUUGGGACUGAGACACGGCCCAGACUCCUACGGGAGGCAGCAGUGGGGAAUAUUGCACAAUGGGGGAAACCCUGAUGCAGCGACGCCGCGUGGAGGAAGAAGGUCUUCGGAUUGUAAACUCCUGUUGUUGAGGAAGAUAAUGACGGUACUCAACAAGGAAGUGACGGCUAACUACGUGCCAGCAGCCGCGGUAAAACGUAGGUCACAAGCGUUGUCCGGAAUUACUGGGUGUAAAGGGAGCGCAGGCGGGCGAUCAAGUUGGGAGUGAAAUCCAUGGCUCAACCCAUGAACUGCUUUCAAAACUGGUCGUCUUGAGUAGUGCAGAGGUAGGCGGAAUUCCCGGUGUAGCGGUGGAAUGCGUAGAUAUCGGGAGGAACACCAGUGGCGAAGGCGGCCUACUGGGCACCAACUGACGCUGAGGCUCGAAAGUGUGGGUAGCAAACAGGAUUAGAUACCCUGGUAGUCCACACCGUAAACGAUGAUUACUAGGUGUUGGGAGAUUGACCCUCUCAGUGCCGCAGUUAACACAAUAAGUAAUCCACCUGGGGAGUACGACCGCAAGGUUGAAACUCAAAGGAAUUGACGGGGGCCCGCACAAGCAGUGGAGUAUGUGGUUUAAUUCGACGCAACGCGAAGAACCUUACCAAGUCUUGACAUCCCUUGACGAUGCUGGAAACAGUAUUUCUCUUCGGAGCAAGGAGACAGGUGGUGCAUGGUUGUCGUCAGCUCGUGUCGUGAGAUGUUGGGUUAAGUCCCGCAACGAGCGCAACCCUUAUGGUCAGUUACUACGCAAGAGGACUCUGGCCAGACUGCCGUUGACAAAACGGAGGAAGGUGGGGAUGACGUCAAAUCAUCAUGCCCUUUAUGACUUGGGCUACACACGUACUACAAUGGCGUUAAACAAAGAGAAGCAAGACCGCGAGGUGGAGCAAAACUCAGAAACAACGUCCCAGUUCGGACUGCAGGCUGCAACUCGCCUGCACGAAGUCGGAAUUGCUAGUAAUCGUGGAUCAGCAUGCCACAGUGAAUACGUUCCCGGGCCUUGUACACACCGCCCGUCACACCAUGAGAGCCGGGGGGACCCGAAGUCGGUAGUCUAACCGCAAGGAGGACGCCGCCGAAGGUAAAACUGGUGAUUGGGGUGAAGUCGUAACAAGGU
rnacentral:rRNA from 1 species